AAACUUAAAGGAAUUGACGGGACCCGCACAGCAGCGGAGCGUGUGGUUUAAUUCGUUGCUACACGAAGAACCUUACCUGGGUUUGACAUAUAGGUUGUAGGGAACUGAAAGGGACCGACCCUUCGGGAGCCUAUACAGGUGUUGCAUGGCUGUCGUCAGCUCGUGUCGUGAGAUGUUCGGUUAAGUCCGCUAACGAGCGCAACCCUCGUCGUAUGUUAUAUGUGUCAUACGAGACUGUCGGUAAAAGCCGGAGGAAGGUGAGGAUGAUGUCAAGUCAGCAUGACCUUUAUAUCCAGGGCUACACACACGCUACAAUGGUCUGUACAAUGGGUAGCCAAGCCGCGAGGCGGAGCCAAUCCUGAAAGCAGGCCUCAGUUCAGAUUGCAGUCUGCAACUCGACUGCAUGAAGCCGGAGUUGCUAGUAACCGCAGGUCAGCAAUACUGCGGUGAAUACGUUCCCGGGUCUU
rnacentral:rRNA from 1 species